AUCCAGCUGACGCGUCCCAAAUAGGACGAAAAGCGCCUUGUCCCGCAU
rfam:Schistosoma mansoni strain Puerto Rico chromosome 2, complete genome